rnacentral:lncRNA from 1 species
CCCACUAUCCUAGUAAAGCGUAACCAGUCAGCCUCACAAGUUCAGCAUUAUAAAAUCUCAUUUGUCAUUUUUCUCUCUCUUUUCACGAAAAUCUCCAGUUUUUUCCCUAAGUUCAUCUUCUCCAACCUUUCUGAAAAACGCUUCUUCUUCCUUAAACCCUAAUCCUUCAAAAUCUCCAAAGUUCAUUACAAUGUCUUCUGAUAAGCAACAAAAGCAAUCAAAGAACAUCAAAGGUGUUGGACCUUCAAAGAGUUCUACCUCCC